rnacentral:rRNA from 1 species
CCAUGAAAAAGAGUUUAGAUCCUGGCUCAGGAUGAACGCUCUGCGGCGUGCCUAAUGCAUGCAAGUCGAACGGUCUGAUUUAUCAGGUAGUGGCGAACGGCUGAGUAAAGCACACGCAACCUGCCCUUGAGUGGGGAAUAACUUGCUGAAAGGUAAGCUAAUACCGCAUACGCUUGCUUUGAGGAAUCGGAGUAAGUAAAGCCUACGGGCGCUUGAGGAGGGGCUUGUGUCCUAUCAGGUAGUUGGUAGGGUAACGGCCUACCAAGCCAAAGACGGGUAGCUGGUCUGAGAGGAUGGUCAGCCAGAUAGGGAAUGAGAGACGGCCCUGACUCCUACGGGAGGCAGCAGCAAGGGAUAUUGCGCAAUGGGCGAAAGCCUGACGCAGCGACGCCGCGUGGGGGAAGAAGGCCCUCGGGUCGUAAACCCCUUUUCUUGGUGAAGAGUAAAGAAAAUAGCCAAGGAAUAAGUCUCGGCUAACUACGUGCCAACAGCCGCGGUAAUACGUAGGAGGCGAGCGUUAUCCGGAAUUACUGGGCGUAAAGGGCGUGUAGGCGGCCCUUUAAGUUGGCUGUGAAAUCUCCCGGCUCAACCGGGAGGGGUCAGCCAAAACUGGAGGGCUAGAGGACAGCAAGGGAACCCGGAAUUCCCGGUGUAGCGGUGAAAUGCGUAGAUAUCGGGAGGAAGGAAAGUGGCGAAGGCGGCCUUCUGGGCUGUCCCUGACGCUGAGGCGCGAAAGCGUGGGGAGCAAAGCGAUUAGAUACCCGCGUAGUCACGCCGUAAACGGUGGAUACUAGGUAUAGGGGGUAUCGACCCCCUCUGUGCCGAAGCUAACGCCAUAAGUAUCCCGCCUGGGGACUACGGCCACAAGGCUUAAAAAAAAAACCUUCAAAAGGAAUUGACGGGGGGCCCGCACAAGCAGCGGAGCGUGUGGUUUAAUUCGAUGCAACACGAAGAACCUUACCAAGGCUUGACAUGCUGGUGGUAGGAAUUCGAAAGGAGGACGACCCUGGUUCGCCAGGGAGCCUGCACAGGUGCUACAUGGCUGUCGUCAGCUCGUGCCGUGCGGUGCUGGGUUAAGUCCUAUAACGAGCGCAACCCUCGUCCUGUGUUACACUCUCACAGGAGACUGCCCAGAAAGUCUGGGAGGAAGGUGGGGAUGACGUCAAGUCAGCAUGGCCCUUAUGCCUUGGGCGACACACACGCUACAAUGGAUGGUACAGAUGGUUGCGAAGGAGUGAUCUGGAGCUAAUCCAACAAAGCCAUCCUCAAUUCGGAUUGCAGGCUGAAACUCGCCUGCAUGAAGUCGGAGUUGCUAGUAACCGCAGGUCAGCAUACUGCGGUGAAUACGUUCCCGGGCCUUGUACACACCGCCCGUCACGUCAUGAAAGCCGGCAACACCUGAAGUCGAUGAGCUAACUCUUUUUGUGAGGCAGUCGCCGAAGGUGGGGCUGGUGAUUGGGACGAUUGUCGUAACAAGGUAACCGUA